AGCAGCCGCGGUAAUUCCAGCUCCAAUAGCGUAUAUUAAAGUUGUUGCAGUUAAAAAGCUCGUAGUUGAAUUUCGGGAUCAAUAUGUUGGUCGUGCCUUGGUACGUACUGGCAUUAUUGGUUUCUACCUUCUGAAGAACCUCGAUGUCAUUAAUUUGGUGUCUUGGGGAAUCAGGACUGUUACUUUGAAAAAUUAGAGUGUUUAAAGCAGGCUCGCGCUUGAAUACAUUAGCAUGGAAUAAUGAAAUAGGACGUUUGAUUCUAUUUUGUUGGUUUCUAGGAUCGACGUAAUGAUUAAUAGGGAUAGUUGGGGGCAUUAGUAUUCAAUUGUCAGAGGUGAAAUUCUUGGAUUUAUUGAAGACUAACUACUGCGAAAGCAUUUGCCAAGGAUGUUUUCAUUAAUCAAGAACGAAAGUUAGGGGAUCGAAGACGAUCAGAUACCGUCGUAGUCUUAACCAUAAACUAUGCCGACUAGGGAUCGGAUGAUGUUAAUUUUUAAUGACUCAUUCGGCGCCUUAACC
rnacentral:misc_RNA from 1 species